rnacentral:tRNA from 1 species
AGGGAUGUAUUUCAGUGGUAGAAUGUUUGCCUAAAAUGUCUGAUGCCUGGGUUUUCAAUCCCCAGCACCUCAA